rnacentral:lncRNA from 1 species
UUGUUUUUUUGUUUUUUUUCUGAGACAGAGUCUCGCUCUGUCGCCCAGACUGGAGUGCAGUGGCACGAUCUCGACUUGCUGCAACCUCCACCUCCCGGGUUCAAUUGAUUCUUCUGCCUCAGCCUCCCGAGUAGCUGGGACUACAGGCAUGUGCCACCAUGCCCGGCUAAUUUUUGUAUUUUUAGUAGAGACGGGGUUUCACCAUAUUGGCCAGGCUGGUCUCGAACUCCUGACCUCGUGAUCCGCCCACCUCGGCCUCUCAAAGUGCUGGGAUUACAUGUGUGAGCCACCGCGCCUGGCCUAGGAGUAGUAUUAAGUGGCCCAGGCAAGAGGAACAUAUUCAGACUCGGAGGAAUGAAGGAUGAAAUGUGGGGAGGGGCAGUGUCUAUGCUGAGGGUUAUUUCCAAAGAAUGAGAGGCUGGGCUGAACAUUGGGCAGGAAGUUAGCAAAAACUAAGGAGGGUAGGAAUCAAGGUUAGAGGGAAGAGAAGAAUGAAAUUGAGUAGGGAGCUGAGAAAGCAGGGCGAGGGGCAUUUGGACUUACAUUUUCUUCCAGCAAAGGUUUCUUAUUUAACCCCUGUGGGCUUAUCUUGCAGCCAAACCCAUCCACCAGCAUGAAGACCGCUGCUUGAGGUUGAAGGUGACUGUCAGUGGCAAAAUCAGUGAGUGUCAGAGCCCUGUGGGCCUCCUUCCUCCAUCUCUAUGCUGGGUGCGGUCUAGUGAUCUAGGAUGGUAUAGAAGUCUUGCAGCCCAGCCCACUCAUACUUACAGCCCUCUGCCUCUUUGAUACAGUACCUGAUCUACUACCACUCUUGUCUUUCAGCUCACAGUCCUCAGGCCCAUGACAAUCCACAGGAGAAGAGACUUGCAGCAGGUGGGUAGCUGGAGCAAACUGGGCCUGGGGCACAGGAAGGGGUCUGCUUGAAGAGGUUGGGUACAGGAGGUGGCUCCUUUACCAGGCUGAGGCUGAGGGAAUCCUGUUGGGCUGAGAGCCAGUACAAAUAGUGGAGCCACUCACACUGGUGGCCUUUGCCCUCUCACCUUGCAGAUGACCCAGAGGUGCGGGUUCUACAUAGCAUCGGUCACAGUGCUGCCCCACGCCUCUUCCCACUUGCCUGGACUGUGCUGCUCCUUCCACUUCUGCUGCUGCAAACCCCGUGAAGGUGUAUGCCACACCUGGCCUUAAAGAGGGACAGGCUGAAGAGAGGGACAGGCACUCCAAACCUGUCUUGGGGCCACUUUCAGAGCCCCCAGCCCUGGGAACCACUCCCACCACAGGCAUAAGCUAUCACCUAGCAGCCUCAAAACGGGUCAGUAUUAAGGUUUUCAACCGGAAGGAGGCCAACCAGCCCGACAGUGCCAUCCCCACCUUCACCUCGGAGGGAUGGAGAAAGAAGUGGAGACAGUCCUUUCCCACCAUUCCUGCCUUUAAGCCAAAGAAACAAGCUGUGCAGGCAUGGUCCCUUAAGGCACAGUGGGAGCUGAGCUGGAAGGGGCCACGUGGAUGGGCAAAGCUUGUCAAAGAUGCCCCCUCCAGGAGAGAGCCAGGAUGCCCAGAUGAACUGACUGAAGGAAAAGCAAGAAACAGUUUCUUGCUUGGAAGCCAGGUACAGGAGAGGCAGCAUGCUUGGGCUGACCCAGCAUCUCCCAGCAAGACCUCAUCUGUGGAGCUGCCACAGAGAAGUUUGUAGCCAGGUACUGCAUUCUCUCCCAUCCUGGGGCAGCACUCCCCAGAGCUGUGCCAGCAGGGGGGCUGUGCCAACCUGUUCUUAGAGUGUAGCUGUAAGGGCAGUGCCCAUGUGUACAUUCUGCCUAGAGUGUAGCCUAAAGGGCAGGGCCCACGUGUAUAGUAUCUGUAUAUAAGUUGCUGUGUGUCUGUCCUGAUUUCUACAACUGGAGUUUUUUUAUACAAUGUUCUUUGUCUCAAAAUAAAGCAAUGUGUUUUUUCGGACAUGCUUUUCUGCCACUCCAUAUUAAAACAUAUGACCAUUGAGUCCCUGCUAAGUGCGAGGCUCUCUGUGCUACAACAGUAGCAACUGGGUUUGAAUUUCUUUCUCUCCAAAGAAUGUGUGCCCCUCACGAGGCCAAAAGGGUGGGAUGUUUCCUCCUCUGAGGGCUGUCCAGGACCGGAGUGCUCCUGACAGCUGUCUCUCGGGUUCUGAGCUGCACUCCACUCUGGAAGUUCUUCCUAUCCGACCUCUACCCCACUCCCACUCCGUCACCGCAGGGCUUUGGCAUACUACCAUUCAGGUACUCACGCUGUUUCGGUGAGUCAGGGAAGCUGGGAACGCCAGCUGAGGCAUGCGGCCCCG